UACGGAGGGUGCAAGCGUUAUCCGGAUUUAUUGGGUUUAAAGGGUGCACAGGUGGUUUAAUAAGUCAGUGGUGAAAGUCUGCCGCUUAACGGUAGGAUUGCCAUUGAUACUGUUGGACUUGAAUAUGGAUGAGGUAGGCGGAAUGUGUAGUGUAGCGGUGAAAUGCUUAGAUAUUACACAGAACACCGAUUGCGAAGGCAGCUUACUAAUCCAUGAUUGACGCUGAGGCACGAAAGCGUGGGGAUCAAACAGGAUUAGA
rnacentral:rRNA from 1 species